CCUGAACAUAAUAAUUCUACCAAUGCUGCUGACGGUCUGGACUCUAUUGAACAAGAGCCAGCUAUGCCCACCCACCGUUCCGACAGUCUGGCUGCUCUUGAGCAUGAGCUGUCUCAUGCCAAUAAAGCUGCUGACUGUCUGGCUUCUCUCAAGGCUGAGCCAACCAUGUCCACCCAGCCUGCUGACACUUUGGCAUCUGUUGAGCCUGAGCCUACUUUUUCCACCAAAGCUGCUGAUUGUCUGGCUACUGUUCAGCCUGAGCUAACUAGGUCAAACCACCCUGCUGACUGUCUGGAUUCUGUUCAGCCUGAGUCAUCUAUGUCCCCACACCCUGCUUACAGUUUGGUAGCUAUUGAGCCUGAACUGACUAAUUCCACCAAAGCUUCUGACUUUCUGGGUGCUGUUGAUCCCGAGUCAACCAAAUCCAUCCACCCUGCUGACAGUAUGGCAGUUGAUGAGCCUGAGCUGCCUAAUUCCAACAUUGCUGCUGACUGUCUGGACGACCUUGAGCCUGAUAGGACUAUUUCUACCAAUGCCGCUGACUGUCAGGCUGCUGUUGGGUCUGAGACAACCCUGUCCACCCAGCCUGCUGACAGUUUGGCAGCUGUUGAGCCUAAGCCGACUAAUUCCACCAAAGCUGCUGACUGUCUGGACUCUGCUGAGCCAGAGCCAACUAUGGCCACCCACCAUGCUGACAUUCUGACUGCUGUUGAGCCUGAACAUACUAAUUGCUCCAGUACUGCUGACUGUCUGCCUGCUGUUCAGCCUGAGUCCAGUAUGUCCACCCACCCUGCUGACAGUAUGGCUGCUAUUGAUGCUGAGCCUACAGAUCCUGCCAUUGUUGCUGACUGUCUGGCUGCUCUUGAACCUCGGCUGUCUCUUACAUGUGCUGCUGACAGUAGUGUGUUAGUUGAGAGUCAUGACUCAGGACCAGCUAGUCACAUUGGAUUGGAUUAUGUAGUUGAUUUACCUCUUUACAAGGAGAGUACAAGGUACAAACCCCAUGCUGACCCAGAGCCCACUCCUGGUUCCUGCACUUGUUAUUCCCUUGACUCCAUUCAAAUGACUAGCCUGACUCUUUUGAUAUCCCUUAGUGAAGAAGAAAUAUUUGAUUCUGCUACUUCAGAUGAGGAAUCUUCUUUUACUCCUGACGUAGAAGAAGGUCUGCCUGCUACUCAGGGUGCUGAGGAUAUUUUUCAUGCUUCCGCACGAGCUGAACCAAUAAACCACAGCUUGAACCUUCUCAGGGAGAGUGGAUAUCUUCGGGCAACAGAGAUACCACGCAUACCUUUUUUGCUCUUCAUAUGGCUUAUAUCCUCACUUUUAUCCAUCAUAACAUGGAUGAAAAUCCAAAUUCAACAAGCAUGGCAUGAAGAAAAUGGCCAAGGAGCUCCCACUAAGAAGAGAGUCGGACCAGUGGCUGCGGCUCCUGAUCCCUAGACCCUUGAUGCUCCUCCAGGAUCGAUUGGAAUAUCAAAACACAGUCUGUGUGGGAGAAUUGAUCAUAUAUAUAAAUUUUAAAAUAAAAUGUUCAGUCUAAUUGUAGACUGAAGUAAAAAUUGAUUGUUUCAUUG
ensembl:lncRNA